rnacentral:lncRNA from 1 species
GAAGGUCACUAGAGAGAGAAAUGUCUUCUGUGCCUCCCCAGGAAACUACAUGGUCAAGCAAGACUGUGACCCAUUCUGGCUGUGAACACCGACAGAAGAGCUGAGGAGCCCUACGCACGAUACCACAAAUAACCCCUGGGAAGUCUUAACCGACCUUGAUAUUUGAUCUGGCAUGGUAUAAUCCUGGUUCAUCCCCGAGGCAAGAUCAUCAUGAAAACUAAAUGUUUAGAAUCAAUUUAGGACACUGAGGCAGCAGUGAUAUCACCACUGAAGACACUCAUGAAAGAAGACUUCAAAAAGUGUCAGGAGUGAUGGGAAACAGCAAAGCUAGUGAUGCACAAAUUUCAGUGAUUGCUGCCACACAGACACAAUUAAAAGAUGAUCUUUGUUCUCAAGCUGUACUAGCAAAAGGAUUUUUCAGGAAAAUUUAAUCUCAUACUCAUCUUCCUG